AUUGAACGCUGGCGGCAUGCCUUACACAUGCAAGUCGAACGGUAACAGGUUAAGCUGACGAGUGGCGAACGGGUGAGUAAUGUAUCGGAACGUGCCCAGUCGUGGGGGAUAACUGCUCGAAAGAGCAGCUAAUACCGCAUACGACCUGAGGGUGAAAGCGGGGGAUCGCAAGACCUCGCGCGAUUGGAGCGGCCGAUAUCAGAUUAGGUAGUUGGUGAGGUAAAGGCUCACCAAGCCGACGAUCUGUAGCUGGUCUGAGAGGACGACCAGCCACACUGGGACUGAGACACGGCCCAGACUCCUACGGGAGGCAGCAGUGGGGAAUUUUGGACAAUGGGCGCAAGCCUGAUCCAGCCAUGCCGCGUGCGGGAAGAAGGCCUUCGGGUUGUAAACCGCUUUUGCCAGGGAAGAAAAGGUUCUGGCUAAUACCUGGGACUCAUGACGGUACCUGAAGAAUAAGCACCGGCUAACUACGUG
rnacentral:rRNA from 1 species